rnacentral:rRNA from 1 species
UACGGGGGGGGCAAGCGUUGUUCGGAAUUACUGGGCGUAAAGGGAGCGUAGGCGGAUAGUUCAGUCAGAGGUGAAAGCCCAGGGCUCAACCUUGGAAUUGCCUUUGAUACUGGCUGUCUUGAGUAUGGGAGAGGUUAGCGGAACUCCGAGUGUAGAGGUGAAAUUCGUAGAUAUUCGGAAGAACACCAGUGGCGAAGGCGGCUAACUGGCCCAUUACUGACGCUGAGGCUCGAAAGCGUGGGGAGCAAACAGG